rnacentral:rRNA from 1 species
UACAGAGGGUGCGAGCGUUGUUCGGAAUUAUUGGGCGUAAAGAGCGUGUAGGCGGUAAAUUAAGUUGGAUGUAAAAGGCAUGGGCUCAACCUGUGUAAGCAUCCAAAACUGAUAUACUUGAGUGCAGGAGAGGAAAGUGGAAUUCCCGGUGUAGCGGUGGAAUGCGUAGAGAUCGGGAGGAACACCAGUGGCGAAGGCGACUUUCUGGCCUGUAACUGACGCUGAGACGCGAAAGCGUGGGUAGCAAACAGG